rnacentral:rRNA from 1 species
UACGGAGGGUGCAAGCGUUGUCCGGAAUCACUGGGCGUAAAGGGCGCGUAGGCGGCUCAUGAAGGCUGUGGUGAAAGUCCGGGGCUCAACCUCGGAUCGGCCGUGGCGACUCGUGGGCUGGAGCACUGUAGAGGCGGGUGGAAUUCCGGGUGUAGCGGUGGAAUGCGUAGAGAUCCGGAAGAACACCAGUGGCGAAGGUGGCCCGCUGGGAUACUUGCUGACGCUGAGGCGCGACAGCGUGGGGAGCAAACAGG